GAUGAACGCUGGCGGCGUGCCUAAUACAUGCAAGUCGAGCGAACAGACGAGGAGCUUGCUCCUCUGACGUUAGCGGCGGACGGGUGAGUAACACGUGGAUAACCUACCUAUAAGACUGGGAUAACUUCGGGAAACCGGAGCUAAUACCGGAUAAUAUCUUGAACCGCAUGGUUCAAUAGUGAAAGACGGUUUUGCUGUCACUUAUAGAUGGAUCUGCGCCGCAUUAGCUAGUUGGUAAGGUAACGGCUUACCAAGGCAACGAUGCGUAGCCGACCUGAGAGGGUGAUCGGCCACACUGGAACGGGGACACGGUCCAGACGCCUACGGGAGGCAGCAGUAGGGAAUCUUCCGCAAUGGGCGAAAGCCUGACGGAGCAACGCCGCGUGAGUGAUGAAGGUCUUCGGAUCGUAGAACUCUGUUAUUAGGGAAGAACAAAUGUGUAAGUAACUAUGCACGUCUUGACGGUACCUAAUCAGAAAGCCACGGCUAACUACGUG
rnacentral:rRNA from 1 species